rnacentral:rRNA from 1 species
AUUGAACGCUGGCGGCAGGCCUAACACCUGCAAGUCGAGCGAGCGGCGGACGGGUGUGUACUGUAUGGGGACUGCCCGAUAGAGGGGGAUAACUACUGGAAACGGUAGCUAAUACCGCAUACUAUCGGAUAACCCAUAUGGGAUUAGCUCGUAGGUGAGGUAAUGGCUCACCUAGGCGACGAUCCCUAGCUGGUCUGAGAGGAGGAUCAGCAAAACUGGGACUGAGACACGGCCAAGACUCGGACGGAGGCAGCAGUGGGGAAUAUUGCACAAGAGGCGCAAGCCUGAUGAAGCCAUGCAGGGUGUAUGAAGAAGGCCCUAGGGGUGUAAAGUACUUUCAGUCGGGAGGCGUUACCGACAGAAGAAGCACCGGCUAACUACGUGCCAGCAGCCGCGGUAAUAC